rnacentral:rRNA from 1 species
UAAGGAAUAUUGGUCAAUGGGCGGAAGCCUGAACCAGCCAUGCCGCGUGCAGGAUGACUGCCCUAUGGGUUGUAAACUGCUUUUGUCCAGGAAUAAACCUAGAUACGUGUAUCUAGCUGAAUGUACUGGAAGAAUAAGGAUCGGCUAACUCCGUGCCAGCAGCCGCGGUAAUACGGAGGAUCCGAGCGUUAUCCGGAUUUAUUGGGUUUAAAGGGUGCGUAGGCGGCCUAUUAAGUCAGGGUGAAAUACGGUGGCUCAACCAUCGCAGUGCCUUUGAUACUGAUGGGCUUGAAUCCAUUUGAAGUGGGCGGAAUAAGACAAGUAGCGGUGAAAUGCAUAGAUAUGUCUUAGAACUCCGAUUGCGAAGGCAGCUCACUAAGCUGGUAUUGACGCUGAUGCACGAAAGCGUGGGGAUCGAACAGGAUUAGAUACCCUGGUAGUCCACGCCCUAAACGAUGAUAACUCGAUGUUGGCGAUAGACAGCCAGCGUCCAAGCGAAAGCGUUAAGUUAUCCACCUGGGGAGUACGCCCGCAAGGUGAAACUUAAAGGAAUUGACGGGGUCAUAGCUGUUUCC